UAGCUAGUUGGUGAGGUAACGGCUUACCAAGGCGACGAUCUGUAGCGGGUCUGAGAGGAUGAUCCGCCACACUGGAACUGAGACACGGUCCAGACUCCUACGGGAGGCAGCAGUGGGGAAUUUUGGACAAUGGGGGCAACCCUGAUCCGGCCAUGCCGCGUGAGUGAAGAAGGCCUUCGGGUUGUAAAGCUCUUUCGGCCGGGAAGAAAUCGCAUGGGCCAAUACCCUGUGUGGAUGACGGUACCGGAAUAAGAAGCACCGGCUAACUACGUGCCAGCAGCCGCGGUAAUACGUAGGGUGCGAGCGUUAAUCGGAAUUACUGGGCGUAAAGCGUGCGCAGGCGGUUUUGUAAGACAGGCGUGAAAUCCCCGGGCUCAACCUGGGAACUGCGUUUGUGACUGCAAGGCUAGAGUACGGCAGAGGGGGGGUGGAAUUCCACGUGUAGCAGUGAAAUGCGUAGAGAUGUGGAGGAACACCAAUGGCGAAGGCAGCCCCCUGGGUCGAUACUGACGCUCAUGCACGAAAGCGUGGGUAGCAAACAGGAUUAGAUACCCUGGUAGUCCACGCCCUAAACUAUGUCAACUAGGUGUUGGGUGGGUAAAACCAUUUAGUACCGUAGCUAACGCGUGAAGUUGACCGCCUGGGGAGUACGGCCGCAAGGUUAAAACUCAAAGGAAUUGACGGGGACCCGCACAAGCGGUGGAUGAUGUGGAUUAAUUCGAUGCAACGCGAAAAACCUUACCUACCCUUGACAUGCCAGGAACUUGCCAGAGAUGGCUUGGUGCCCGAAAGGGAGCCUGGACACAGGUGCUGCAUGGCUGUCGUCAGCUCGUGUCGUGAGAUGUUGGGUUAAGUCCCGCAACGAGCGCAACCCUUGUCGUUAAUUGCCAUCAUUUAGUUGGGCACUUUAGCGAGACUGCCGGUGACAAACCGGAGGAAGGUGGGGAUGACGUCAAGUCCUCAUGGCCCUUAUGGGUAGGGCUUCACACGUCAUACAAUGGUCGGUACAGAGGGUCGCCAAGCCGCGAGGUGGAGCCAAUCCCAGAAAGCCGAUCGUAGUCCGGAUUGCAGGCUGCAGCUCGCCUGCAUGAAGUCGGAAUCGCUAGUAAUCGUGGAUCAGCAUGUCACGGUGAAUACGUUCCCGGGUCUUGUACACACCGCCCGUCACACCAUGGGAGCGGGUUCCGCCAGAAGUAGGUAGCCUAACCGCAAGGAGGGCGCUUACCACGGCGGGGUUCGUGACUGGGGUGAAGUCGAAACAAGGUAGCCGUAGGGGAACCUGCGGCUG
rnacentral:rRNA from 1 species